UACAAGGCUUGUCCAAUUCAGAAACCUGUG
rnacentral:piRNA from 1 species